rnacentral:rRNA from 1 species
UGCCUUGAAGAUCGGAGUGCUUGCACUCUGUGAAACAAGAUACAGGCUAGCGGCGGACGGGUGAGUAACACGUGGGUAACCUGCCCAAGAGAUCGGGAUAACACCUGGAAACAGAUGCUAAUACCGGAUAACAACAGAUGAUGCCUAUCAACUGUUUAAAAGAUGGUUCUGCUAUCACUCUUGGAUGGACCUGCGGUGCAUUAGCUAGUUGGUAGGGUAACGGCCUACCAAGGCGAUGAUGCAUAGCCGAGUUGAGAGGCUGAUCGGCCACAUUGGGACUGAGACACGGCCCAAACUCCUACGGGAGGCAGCAGUAGGGAAUCUUCCACAAUGGACGCAAGUCUGAUGGAGCAACGCCGCGUGAGUGAAGAAGGGUUUCGGCUCGUAAAGCUCUGUUGUUGGUGAAGAAGGACAGGGGUAGUAACUGACCUUUGUUUGACGGUAAU